AGAAUCACAAGUAACAUACAAGUGAAAUAAAGAGAGAUACAUCUAGCUAUUACAUUCAUUCAACCUCAUUUUUCAUAUUGAUUUACAUUUUCAUCUUCCCAAAUGAAUACAUAUUAUUCUCAUAAUACAAAAUGUCUUUCCAAAUACAUAAGUAACUUCCAAAUACAUUUACAUCUCUAUGUACACGAGGGUACUCUAAUGCAUAAGGAAAGCUACUAGCUACUAGGGCGCUGUGCCCUUACCACGGUCCUCUGCCGGUACGCUCUCGUGUGUACCUGUACCCCAAAACCACACGGGGUGAGAACUAUAUAAAUAUAGUUCCCAGU
rnacentral:lncRNA from 1 species